AGUGAACGCUGGCGGCAGGCCUAACACAUGCAAGUCGAACGGCAGCGGGUCCUUCGGGAUGCCGGCGAGUGGCGGACGGGUGAGGAAUACAUGGAAAUCUGCCCAGUCGGGGGGGAUAACGUAGGGUAACUUACGCUAAUACCGCAUGCGACCUUAGGGUGAAAGCGGCGGACGGCAAGGCGUUGUGCGAUUGGAUGAGCCCAUGUCGGAUUAGCUAGUUGGCGGGGUAAAGGCCCACCAAGGCGACGAUCCGUAGCUGGUCUGAGAGGAUGAGCAGCCACACUGGAACUGAGACACGGUCCAGACUCCUACGGGAGGCAGCAGUGGGGAAUAUUGGACAAUGGGCGCAAGCCUGAUCCAGCCAUGCCGCGUGAGUGGAGAAGGCCUUCGGGUUGUAAAGCUCUUUUGUCCGGAAAGAAAAGCUCUCGGUUAAUACCCGGGGGUUCUGACGGUACCGGAAGAAUAAGCACCGGCUAACUUCGUGCCAGCCGCCGCUGUAACAC
rnacentral:rRNA from 1 species